UGAACGCUAGCGACAGGCCUAACACAUGCAAGUCAGGGGCAGCACAGGAGCAAUCUGAGGUGGCGACCGGCGCACGGGUGAGUAACACGUAUGCAACCUGCCUGUAAGCGGGGAAUAACCCGUUGAAAGACGGACUAAUACCGCAUAAUACUAAAUUACUGCAUGGAAUUUAUUUAAACAUUUAUGGCUUACAGAUGGGCAUGCGCAUGAUUAGCUAGUUGGAGAGGUAACGGCUCCCCAAGGCAACGAUCAUUAGGGGUUCUGAGAGGAAGGUCCCCCACACUGGUACUGAGACACGGACCAGACUCCUACGGGAGGCAGCAGUGAGGAAUAUUGGUCAAUGGACGAGAGUCUGAACCAGCCAAGUCGCGUGCAGGAAGAAUUGUCCUAUGGAUUGUAAACUGCUUUUGCAGGGGAAUAAAGUGCAUCACGUGUGAUGUUUUGUAUGUACUCUGCGAAUAAGGAUCGGCUAACUCCGUGCCAGCCGCGGC
rnacentral:rRNA from 1 species